UACAGAGGGUGCAAGCGUUAAUCGGAAUUACUGGGCGUAAAGCGUGUGUAGGUGGUUAGAUAAGUUAGAUGUGAAAUCCCCGGGCUUAACCUGGGCACUGCGUUUAAGACUGUUUAACUAGAGUGCUGUAGAGGGUAGUGGAAUUUCCAGUGUAGCGGUGAAAUGCGUAGAUAUUGGAAGGAACACCAGUGGCGAAGGCGACUACCUGGACAGACACUGACACUGAGACACGAAAGCGUGGGGAGCAAACAGGAUUAGAUACCCUGGUAGUCCAUGCUGUAAACUAUGAGAACUUGCUGUUGGGUGCAUAAAGGCAUUUAGUAGCGAAGCUAACGCGUUAAGUUCUCCGCCUGGGGAGUACGGCCGCAAGGCUAAAACUCAAAG
rnacentral:rRNA from 1 species